CAUCGGGUCCCGCGCAAGAGGAGGUUUAUGAACCCCGCCAGGCCCGGAAGGGAGCAACGGUAGUAGAUUGAUUCUGUGCCGCGGGGGAGCCUGAUGGCC
rnacentral:SRP_RNA from 1 species